rnacentral:rRNA from 1 species
CCUACGGGAGGCAGCAGUGAGGAAUAUUGGUCAAUGGCCGGAAGGCUGAACCAGCCAAGCCGCGUGAGGGAGGAAGGCGCAGAGCGUCGUAGACCUCUUUUGCCGGGGGACAAAAGGCCGGACUCGUCCGGUCCUGAGGGUACCCGGAGAAAAAGCAUCGGCUAACUCCGUGCCAGCAGCCGCGGUAAUACGGAGGAUGCGAGCGUUAUCCGGAUUUAUUGGGUUUAAAGGGUGCGCAGGCGGGGCUUCAAGCCGGCGGUGAAAUGGCGGGGCUCAACCCCGCCGGGCCGUCGGAACUGGGGGCCUUGAGGGCGGCGGAGGCAUGCGGAAGGGGCGGUGUAGCGGUGAAAUGCAUAGAUAUCGGGCAGAACC